rnacentral:tRNA from 1 species
GUGGUGUUAGCUUAAUGGUAUAGCAGAGGGAUUAAAACCUCGGUUGCAGGUUUAAGCCCUGCACAGCCCGCCA